UCCGUAGGUGAACCUGCGGAGGGAUCAUUACCGAGUUUACAACUCCCAAACCCCUGUGAACAUACCAAUUGUUGCCUCGGCGGAUCAGCCCGCUCCCGGUAAAACGGGACGGCCCGCCAGAGGACCCCUAAACUCUGUUUCUAUAUGUAACUUCUGAGUAAAACCAUAAAUAAAUCAAAACUUUCAACAACGGAUCUCUUGGUUCUGGCAUCGAUGAAGAACGCAGCAAAAUGCGAUAAGUAAUGUGAAUUGCAGAAUUCAGUGAAUCAUCGAAUCUUUGAACGCACAUUGCGCCCGCCAGUAUUCUGGCGGGCAUGCCUGUUCGAGCGUCAUUUCAACCCUCAAGCCCAGCUUGGUGUUGGGACUCGCGAGUCAAAUCGCGUUCCCCAAAUUGAUUGGCGGUCACGUCGAGCUUCCAUAGCGUAGUAGUAAAACCCUCGUUACUGGUAAUCGUCGCGGCCACGCCGUUAAACCCCAACUUCUGAAUGUUGACCUCGGAUCAGGUAGGAAUACCCGCUGAACUUAAGCAUAUCAAUAAGAGGGAGGAA
rnacentral:rRNA from 1 species